AUGUUUACCUUUGAUAUUUGUUUUAUCUUUGAUUUCAAAGAUGGCUGUUUCCAAAUGCCAUCUGUCAUGAUGAGAGCACAGCAGGCCGCAGAGGCAGCAGGGAAUUCAAUCCAACACUGGCUGUUUGGUGACAUCUGCUGGUGCCAAACAACAAGUCUUCGUGGAGCAGACGUCAGUUCAUAAGGUGCUUAAGGUGUUUGGAGAAAAAAAUACAAGAUUCCAGAUCAUCCAUGUCAUAUCAUCCAUAGCGUAACGAACCACUCCACUGAACAGCCGCUGCACCUGGACAAACGACUGUGGGACUUUAAGGACAGAGUGAUACCACGAGUGACCGAGAUUCACAUUUGACAUGACUUGAUUCCUUCCUGACCACAUCCCACCCAGCAUCACACAAAAACAGCAGCAGCAGUUUGCCAUUCAACACAUUGUUGCAAGUUUGUCAUAUCUGAUGCUGUGAAAAAUUGUUUCUUUCUUAUCCUAUGAUUAUUACCACACAUUUUGUGCCUUCUUUUGUUACAGGUAUACGUUCCUUGUGUAGGCACUUCAUUUCUUACGUCUGGUUGUAUAUCAGGUGUUCAUUUGACCUUUAUUUAGACCUCUCUGUGGUUAAUGGUUGUCUCUCUCUGGCCCUUUGAUUUUUAUCUCUUAGUGCCUCUCUGAUAGUGAGAUUCCAGUGGAACAGAUGCUACUAGAAAAACAUCACACGUGAUGCCUUUAGGUAAAAUAUAAUACGGUGAUGCAUAAGGAAGGGAUAAAGGCUGUUAAGAAGUAUUGGCAGAGUGACAGUUCUGCACUUUCAGGGAUCCUCAGGAGUGAGCGCUCUCUCCACUUUGUUUAAUAGUGGAUCUUUGACGCAUUUCUCCAACGGCGAAGUAGUGUAAGGUCUUUUCUGAAACUUUCCGAAACGCAGCUCAUGACUGCAAUGAAAGUGCCCUAAACGCUCGCGCCUUGAGAAAAAUGUUCGUCUUUGUACGUGUAAACAUGCUUAAUUUAGAGCGAUAUCAAACUUACAAUACCUGUAACGCGAUAGACUGGGGUUUUUUGGGUGUUCAUCUUGGCAGAACGUCAUAAAGAACUGGGAUAGUGUUGCAGAGAAGAUGGUGGUUCUGUGUUCCUGGCCUUAGUCAGGACCAGAGUGUAGUGCAUAUUUCGCAAUAUGGAUCGUCUUGGAAUUUAAUUAGAAUAGCUAACUGCCCGAUGUAAAUAAAUAUAUUUUGAAUUUUACA
rnacentral:lncRNA from 1 species